UUUAAUUUAGCUUUCGUAUUUCAGGAGUUGAAAUAAUUUGUAUUAGGUUGUCUUGUCUAAAAUGAGAAUCAUAUGCGAUGAUUAUUUGGUAAAAUCAUUUUAAAUGAAUGGGUAUUUGGUAGAGUUUUAUUUGGUGCCCUUAAUGUUAGAUGAUUAUUUUUCUUAACUUAUGUGUCCAUUUCUCCUUUUGCUCGCAGGUGUUUAUAUGAUGAAGAUUCAGUAAUCUUUGUAAGUGUUUCGUAUUUCUUAUAUAUGUUUGAUUAGGGUGUUUUGUAUUGGUAGACCCAGUUAAAUUAGUUUGGAUCCUAAUUUAACAUCUUUUGGUUAUAUACUCAGCAGGGAUGUCUGCUAGAUACAAUGCCGUUUACUGAUGUACUUCCUCAAUUUAGAAUGAAAUAGUGGCAAGUUAUCGUUGUUUUGUUUCUUGAUUCUCUCUGUCAGUAGAAGAAUUCUCUUGUCCAAGGCGCGCUUGGAAAGAAUAUCAAGUGGAUAACUCGAAGAAAUUUUGGACUCCUAGCUCGAGCAUUCGAGACUCCAAGUCACGUGUUUCAUCCACCGCCAACUGCUUUUAAUAAAUGGAAAAAAGAAGAUGGAUCAAGUACUUUAUGUAAUGCUACAAUAUUUUUAUUAAUUUUUGUAUACUUUCAACUUUAUUUGGAUGUAUUUAACCUAAUAUUAUAAUUCUAAUGUGAUUUGUUAUUUGAUCUAA